rnacentral:sRNA from 1 species
GGUCAGCUGCUGGGUAGAGCCUCUCAGAGGAGAGUUAUGCUAGGCUCCUGUCUGCAAGCAUAGCAGAGUAGUUCAUAUAGAGCUCCUGGGGGUCAGGAGGAGUGUGGAGUUUGGGAGUCUUGCACCCUGGACUAUACAUGUCAGAGGUUUCAAGCCAAGGUCUUUGGGAGGAGAGUAACUACUAAACCACUCCCACCUCUAGGAUGCCCUGGACCUAGAAGCAGAGGCUACUACAGUGGUGGUAAAUGGCUUAUGGUACUUUUCACUGAGAUUAAGCAAAAAGAAUUGGAGUUCUUUGCAUUAUGACAUUGAUAUUUUCAUCAUUUAUCUUAAAAAGCAGCACUGAGCCCAUCAACCCAGAUGAAACUGGAUUUCUUUUGAGAAGUCUGAUGAAUUGUUUCCUGGGAGACUGGCUGGUUUUCUACAGAGACUGCCAUUCCUCGAUGGGAGUAAACAAGACAAAGAUGUCUGGAACUCUAGCCCUGGAUCUUCCGUGGUGAUGAGUGACAUAGGGAACGGGAUUUAAGUACUUAAUGUUCCAAUAUCCUCUGUGCAUUGACGACUUUUAUAAACCCCCAAAUGACAUUCUGAAGGCAACAAGGGAGACUACCGGGGUUCUCAAGAGCCUCAGAUGACAGUGCACCAGAAUUGCAAAGCUGAGUUAUUAAACAAAAUUGACAGACAAGCUCUCCCUACGUUGGUAGUCCUGAACUCACUCUAAACCAAGCUAGCCUUGAAUUUCCAGAGAGCUGCCAGCUUCUGCCUCCCAAGUGCUGUGACUAAAGGCGUGUGCCACCAUGUCCUGCUCUUCUGCACAUUUUAAAAUCCUGUCUAGAUUAUGUAAAAGACUCAGCAGCCUGCGAACACACUGUUACACUAGAGUGUUCUGAGAAUAACAAUCAAUACAAAGCCUGAACAUACUUUUUCCUGAAUACGUUUGAUCUUUGGUUGGCUAAAACAUAGAAGGCAGAAUCUAUGGUAAGAACCUGUGCACAGACAUGGCUAAUGUUUACAGCUAUGGGCUUCUGCUCUGUUUUGGAACUGUAUUUAUUGUAGUAAUGCUUAACAAUUUUAACUUGUAGAUACAUUUGUGUAUUCAACCGUCUGAAAUAGAUAUCACAGUUCACACUGUACACAGAAGGAGCUCAGCUGUAGAACAUGAGUGACUUGCUCAUGUUCUCAAACUGAAGGAUUUCAAGACCUAAAUGUCGUCCAAAGCCAAGGUAAUAGAGAACGAAAGUGUAAAACGCAAAAGUGCUAAGUGCAAAUACUGUCUGUAUACAGAUAGCAUCUGGCCGUGCUCUGGUAUAACUGAACACAAUUCUCAGACUAACUCACCCAGCUCGGUUUUCUGCUGAAGUGGAGUGAGCCUGCACGGCAGUUCACACUUCGUUCAGACACACCUCACAGUUACAGCUGAAGACUCCCUAGCGACCUGAAAUUCAGGGCUCCAAACUUAAACUGUAGCGCUUAACUUUUUCAUUUUGUUACCUACUUUACUUUUCCCUGUUUGUCUGUCCAAGAUGGUAAUGGAUGAGGUAAGCAUUCUUUUUAAAAGUUGGUUGCCUUUCUGAUUUAUUACUUCCGUGAGGAGGGGACUAAUCAUGUAUUCUCGGUGUGGAGCUUUAGGAAGGGGAAUUUUCACACAGUUGGUGGGCAUGGAAAUUAGUACAGCCAUUAUGGCAGGCAGUACACAGAGAGCGAAACACACAGAACUCUCACAUGAUCCAGCAGUCGCACUCUGGGCUCUACAUCCAAGGGAAAUGAGGUCAUUACAGCAAACAGAUCGUCACACUUUCUUCUUGAUUGCAGCAGUGUUCAUGAUAAUUCACAAUAAUGGAGUUAAUUAUGGUGUCUUUUCACUGUGUGUGAAUAAGGAAACUAUGGUGUGUGUACCUAACAGGUUGUCACACAAGGAAGAAGGAGGGCCUGGCAUGAAAAGUUGACCUGAAUCUAGCAGUAUUUGAGAUGGCUUACUAUGGAAAAAGGUGUUUGCUUCCAACCAUGGUGACCAGAGUUGAAUUCCUGGGACUUAUGGUGGAAGGAAAGAACUGGCUUCUACCAGUUAUCCUCUGACCACCACAUGCUCACUGUAGCCGAGUGUGUGCCUGCAGAUUGGAUACUGCUUUUCUAAUGUUUAGAACCAGAGUGUUGUGCUACAGUUGAUUUCAUUUUGGGGACUAUAUGCGCAUACAGUGAGACAGCUUGGCAACUGGACUUCAGUCUAAAUUAAUGUUUCCUACACAUCUGCGAGGUGUGGCUUGGCCUGAGGUUUCUCCAAAGGUCCUUUGUGUAAGAAGGCUUUGCCCUCAAGAUGGCAGCACGGGGAGUGGUGGGCUCUUUAAGAGCCAGGUCUUAUGUCAGGUUCCUGAGUCCCUGAUGGUGCAGCUCCCUAAAGGGACUGCUGUUUUGGAAAGAGAGGCUACCAUCAUGAGUGAUGGGUCUGGGAUAGUCCUUACCAGUGAUGAGAGUAUACAGGCACAGUGUGUUUGAACUUGUAAAAUGAAGCUUUUUGUCCUCAAUAGUAACUUGCCUCAGGUAUUUCAUUAUAGUAACAUAAAGCUGGCUGUUACAACACCUUAUGUAGAAGGAAUGUUUGUGCAGUAUUUUAGUGGGGAUGCAGUUUGACAGUAACUCCUUGUAUGAGGUCAGAGGUGGCAUUUUCCACUUGUGGCAUCAGGUUAAUGCACAAAAGAUUUGGCAGUUUAGAUCAUUUUAGGUUUCAGAUUUCAGAUUAGGGCAAUUUCACCUACAACUGGAUAUUUCAAGCACUUUAAUGGAGACCCACUAGUAAAGGACAACUAAAUGAUCAGGGGAAACACUGAAUUCUGGUUUUCUCCAUCUCCUUAAUGGUACAUACAAUGAAAUGGGGAGGAAGAAGAAGAAGGGACUGAUGGAGCCAUAAGCCGGAUAAUCAUCCGUAUAUAACGGGCAGGGGCUCUAGUAGGUGCUCUUUAGGCACCGGUAGUAGCUUUGGAUUCUUACACUGGUGCAGAGUCCCCUGACUGGUACUUUCACAUCAUGGAGCUGCCAUCGGCUUCACUGAUGCUAACAGUUGCCAACCAAUGUCAGGCGAGCGCAUUAGCAGUUGAUCUGCAAACACUGUGAACAAGUGUAAUCUUAGCCCAGAUACUUUCCAGACCAAUAGUAAAGCAGAUGAUAAUCCCGUGUAUCUGAAGAAUAAAUUACUGUAUUAGAAUGUAAUAUAAUUGUUCUUAUUUGUCUUCUCCUUCAAAGAGCUUAGGGUUUAUUACAAACAUGAUUGAAAAUUUUAAUUUGAAAUGCAGCAAAGUUCUUUCCAUUUCAGGACUGGGAAAAAGAAGGAGAAAGCUCAGUAAGUGUCAGGCAGCUGAUGGCAGGUUUAGAUGAGCAUUCUAUGUUGGGGUGGUUUUUAAUACUGUUAUCAGAUUACACUGGUUUUUGUUUUGGGCAGGCUGCCGCAGAAUGAUUUUAGAAGAGAUUUUGCCUAUCUUCUCUCCACAGAUGGCACAGAUAAUAACCAUCCCACAGGCAGCAUGUGUGGAUUUGUGUUUUCAAGGCUUGCUUUGUGUUUUUGGUGGCUCAGUUUCGUACAUUUCUUUUUUCACCCCAUUCGUCAUGUUGAAAUGACUGGGGAUUCAGCUCAGGGGCAGACACUUCCUGAAGGGUGGGACAUGAAGCCAGACCCCAAGGCACCCCAAAGUUGGGGGAGAGGCGGGCAGACAAGCAGUUACUUAUCAUCCUUAUUCUGGAAGAGACCACACUUCCGCAAUUCUGGGGUGUCACUCCUGCAGACUUCGAAAGCUCAGGCCAGCUGUGCUCACCCCCUCUCAGGAUUGUCUCUCAGCACUCCUGAUGGGCAGCUGCAGCCACAGCCUGGUUUUAUUUCUCUUCCGAAAGUGCAGUUGCUUAAAACAAAGGAAUUCCACUGAUGAGAGGCCAUCAGUCAUCAGGGAUAAGAUGUCCCUGUCACUGCUGAGGUGACCGUAGCACUCCUGUUACAAUCCUGAGACUCAGAGAGAAUGUCUCCUCAUGCUCUUAGCUGGCAACUUUGUCCUCACUCCGCUUCUGGAAUACAUUCUAAAUUUAUAAAUAUCUAAGUUUGAAAUUCCCACCCCAACAACUUAAGAAUUUAUAUGUCACUCUCCACUAUAUCAGAUAAUUUUUUUAAAUUAAGGUUUUCACAGGGCUAGAGGCCAAUUUGUAUUUUAAAUUCAGUGCAAUUAAAACUGUGUCUCUUUGGUCUAGUCCUGCCUUUGGUCAGAGCCUGUUUAUAUGAAUAAUUAUUUACUACAUUAAGUAGUCAGCUCAAGUCCUUCUCCCAGUCUGAAGGUUUUAAUAAAUAUUGAUCAGGACCAUUUUUGUUUGUACUUGCCAAAGCAAUUCUGAUGGAUUCAUCAUCUGAUGUUAUCAAAUAAUGAAAUAUGAAAGAGUGAAUAGAAUUACCCUCUUGUUCUGUGAUUUUUUAUUUAGGGUCUUCAUUUUACUUUCAUAAUUGUGUUUGUCUCAUACGUCUGUAAAUGUUCUUUUGAUUACCAAAAGGUGAGCCCAGGUUAAGGAGAGCUAUGCUGUGCUGAAUAGCAGUUUAGAAUCUUUUCAAUUAAAAUAGUUUAUCGGAUAGCACUUUGAAGAGUUUUCAAUUUUUGAAAAUAAUUUAUCUGCUACCACAGGGUGAAGAAAGGCACACAGUGUCCUGCCCUCUGGCAAUAACAAAGCCUCUGAUUGUUUACUAAUUAGUAAGAGAAUCUUAAGUUAUACAUUAUCUAUAUUUCAUAGACUAGAAAUCUGGAGGCAACUGCUGGUGUAAGCUGAAAAAUAAUUCAGAGGCCCUGUGGCCCUUUCUUCUUUAGGUAAAG